rnacentral:rRNA from 1 species
AAAUUGAAGAGUUUGAUCAUGGCUCAGAUUGAACGCUGGCGGCAGGCCUAACACAUGCAAGUCGAGCGGUAGCACAGAGAGCUUGCUCUCGGGUGACGAGCGGCGGACGGGUGAGUAAUGUCUGGGAAACUGCCUGAUGGAGGGGGAUAACUACUGGAAACGGUAGCUAAUACCGCAUAACGUCGCAAGACCAAAGUGGGGGACCUUCGGGCCUCAUGCCAUCAGAUGUGCCCAGAUGGGAUUAGCUAGUAGGUGGGGUAACGGCUCACCUAGGCGACGAUCCCUAGCUGGUCUGAGAGGAUGACCAGCCACACUGGAACUGAGACACGGUCCAGACUCCUACGGGAGGCAGCAGUGGGGAAUAUUGCACAAUGGGCGCAAGCCUGAUGCAGCCAUGCCGCGUGUGUGAAGAAGGCCUUCGGGUUGUAAAGCACUUUCAGCGGGGAGGAAGGCGUUAAGGUUAAUAACCUUGUCGAUUGACGUUACCCGCAGAAGAAGCACCGGCUAACUCCGUGCCAGCAGCCGCGGUAAUACGGAGGGUGCAAGCGUUAAUCGGAAUUACUGGGCGUAAAGCGCACGCAGGCGGUCUGUCAAGUCGGAUGUGAAAUCCCCGGGCUCAACCUGGGAACUGCAUUCGAAACUGGCAGGCUAGAGUCUUGUAGAGGGGGGUAGAAUUCCAGGUGUAGCGGUGAAAUGCGUAGAGAUCUGGAGGAAUACCGGUGGCGAAGGCGGCCCCCUGGACAAAGACUGACGCUCAGGUGCGAAAGCGUGGGGAGCAAACAGGAUUAGAUACCCUGGUAGUCCACGCCGUAAACGAUGUCGAUUUGGAGGUUGUGCCCUUGAGGCGUGGCUUCCGGAGCUAACGCGUUAAAUCGACCGCCUGGGGAGUACGGCCGCAAGGUUAAAACUCAAAUGAAUUGACGGGGGCCCGCACAAGCGGUGGAGCAUGUGGUUUAAUUCGAUGCAACGCGAAGAACCUUACCUGGUCUUGACAUCCACAGAACUUUCCAGAGAUGGAUUGGUGCCUUCGGGAACUGUGAGACAGGUGCUGCAUGGCUGUCGUCAGCUCGUGUUGUGAAAUGUUGGGUUAAGUCCCGCAACGAGCGCAACCCUUAUCCUUUGUUGCCAGCGGUUAGGCCGGGAACUCAAAGGAGACUGCCAGUGAUAAACUGGAGGAAGGUGGGGAUGACGUCAAGUCAUCAUGGCCCUUACGACCAGGGCUACACACGUGCUACAAUGGCAUAUACAAAGAGAAGCGACCUCGCGAGAGCAAGCGGACCUCAUAAAGUAUGUCGUAGUCCGGAUUGGAGUCUGCAACUCGACUCCAUGAAGUCGGAAUCGCUAGUAAUCGUAGAUCAGAAUGCUACGGUGAAUACGUUCCCGGGCCUUGUACACACCGCCCGUCACACCAUGGGAGUGGGUUGCAAAAGAAGUAGGUAGCUUAACCUUCGGGAGGGCGCUUACCACUUUGUGAUUCAUGACUGGGGUGAAGUCGUAACAAGGUAACCGUAGGGGAACCUGCGGUUGGAUCACCUCCUUA